rnacentral:rRNA from 1 species
ACACUCCUGCGGGAGGCAGCAGUGGGGAAUUUUGGACAAUGGGCGAAAGCCUGAUCCAGCCAUGCCGCGUGCAGGAUGAAGGCCUUCGGGUUGUAAACUGCUUUUGUACGGAACGAAACGGCCUUUUCUAAUAAAGAGGGCUAAUGACGGUACCGUAAGAAUAAGCACCGGCUAACUACGUGCCAGCAGCCGCGGUAAUACGUAGGGUGCAAGCGUUAAUCGGAAUUACUGGGCGUAAAGCGUGCGCAGGCGGUUAUGUAAGACAGUUGUGAAAUCCCCGGGCUCAACCUGGGAACUGCAUCUGUGACUGCAUAGCUAGAGUACGGUAGAGGGGGAUGGAAUUCCGCGUGUAGCAGUGAAAUGCGUAGAUAUGCGGGGGAACACCGAUGGCGAAGGCAAUCCCCUGGACCUGUACUGACGCUCAUGCACGAAAGCGUGGGGAGCAAACAGGAUUAGAUACCCCAGUAGUCCCAUGA